CACAGGGUUCACACAUCAAAGUCCGUGCAGGCAGACUUAACACAGGAGAGCUCGCAUCUGAUGGCAGGGAUUUCCUCCCCUCCUGCUUAGUGCAGUGCCCAAGUGCAUGUGUGUAGUGACCUGAAAGUCUGCUGUCUGUGAGGCUGACUACACUAACAGCUUACUGGAGAUAUUGAACUGUAAGGGUAUUGACGGAAGCCUCUGGGUUUAUCAGCGAUGAUGUUUGGAUCACUAAUGCAGAGGUCUUUGCUCGUUUCUGUGCUACUUUGACUGGCGCGUUUCUGUGCCAAUGUGGAUGAUUUACCAGGGGAAAUACAUUUUUGGAGAAAAGCACAUUUACUAAAGGAGUAUGCUGCCUGGCUGACAUAAAUGUGAUGAUGCCCUGUUAGUGGGGGGUCAUUGACACAGUAUGGCAGCUGGACAUCUGACCAGCUGAGGUCCACAACUUACAGGGUUAAGGAGAUUAUCACAGAGACAAUAGCGUUUAUAUCAACUGGGGACCUGAGGGAAUUAACUUUUGGAUAUCACCCAAGUCUGUCGAAUAUCCCAGAAUUAACUGAAAUUUAUAGACUGGAGGGUGUGACUUUGACAUCAAACCCACUUGUCAGACUUGUGGUUAGUUCCUCAAACUUGCUCGCAACAGUUUCCUCUACCUGUUAUCAAAUGUCAUCAAACCUUUUUUUUUUUUUUAUAGGAAAACUGCCUUACAAACCUAUAACAAAUACCUUUAUUAACAUCGGUGUAUACAAUAUAUUCAUUUUAUUUCAAAUUGUUUUUUAAAAUUGCACAAAAAUGAAAAUAACAUUUUAGAGUGAAAAUUACACUUGACAGUGGACAAAAACAAAAAAUAAAUUAAAUAUCUUAAUGAUGUGUAUACAAAAAAUAAACAAAUCAGUGCAG